rfam:Ictidomys tridecemlineatus contig027780, whole genome shotgun sequence.
UGGAGUGUAGCUCAGUGGAAGAGCACUUGCCUAGGAAGUACGAAGCCCUGGGUUCAAUCCCCAGUACCACAA